UUCUGAUUUCUCACUGUACCACCAAACAUACACAUAAAAGAGAAAGCAAACUAGCUAAUCUGCCGCUGCUGAAAGAUUCCAAACGAUGAUAUGUUUGAGUAGGAUUUUUUCGGUUUCCAACGAAUCACCGGAUCCGUACAGUCCUCGUGUCUCAGGGUAUAACAAGCUUGCCUUCACUAGGGCGAAACCAGAGAUUGAGAUGGCAGCGAUUCUCGGCGUUAGACCCAUCAGAAUCUUCCUCUCUCGACUGAUUCCGCGGAUAAGUUUACUUCCGGCUUUUGUAUCAUAGAAGGACCUGAAACAGUACAAGACUUUGCCAAAAUGCAAUUACAAGAGAUUCAAGAUAACAUUCGAAGCCGAAAACUUCUUCUUUCUAAAAGUUUCCUAAAGUGGAAACCUUUUUCAUCACGUUUCUUCUCUCUGUUUUCUAGGUACGGAGGCUGAGAAUACAACAACGUAUUAAAACACACAGAACUUGGCAUCAUCAACGAAGAGCAAGACCACGACUUACCUAAUUUCCCACCCUUAUCCCCUUCUUACAUCCAUUGCCUCAAUUGAUUAUGAGAGAUUACAAAGGAGGAGGGAGGAGCCAGCUGGAUCCUUGGAUGUAGCCAAGCGAGAUGAAAGAGU